CUCAUUUAAAUUCCAGCAUUUUUCUCCUUAUUUUAGAAGUUUAACAUUUCAGAAGCAGACACUGCCUCCCUUCCUGCAACAACUUUUUCCUAAGUCUCAUUUUUCCCCAGUUUCAAGGGCGAAUUCUAGAACUCCCCGAAACCGCCACCAGUUAACCAGAAUUCAGUGGCUUUGGAAAAUAAAACUGCUUUUAUAGCUCUUCUGGGUAUUUGAGAAAUGCACUUGUGAAGGGUUAGAGUUGAAUCUUUUGAUGGGAAAGUCGGGUUUUCCUGACACUGGGAUUCCGGGAUUCCAGGGAUUGGGGUGGCCCAGUUCCUGCGAGAAGCAAUAGCGGGCGGUGACAUGAGGAGCACGGUGCGUCCAGCGAGUCCUUCUGCCUGGGGCCCUCCCGACCCCCCGCCUGCGCCCCCAGGACUCUGGCCUCACCCGGCCGUGCCGGGGCCUCUGUGACGCGGCGUUCCAGGCACUCGGCCUCGGCCAAGCCCGUAGCUUGACAGGCCCAGAGACAGGAGGCAGCGGCAGCAGCGGCGGCAUGAACCACUGCCAGCUACCGGUGGUGAUCGACAACGGCUCGGGAGUGAUCAAGGCGGGCGUGGCUGGGUGCCGGGAGCCCCAGUUUAUCUAUCCGAACAUUAUCGGCCGCGCCAAGGGCCAGAGCCGCGCGGCCCAGGGCUGGCUAGAACUCUGCGUAGGCGACCAAGCUCAGGACUGGAGGAGCUCGCUGUCCAUCAGUUACCCAGUGGAGCGUAGUCUCAUUACUUCAUGGGAGGACAUGGAGAUCAUGUGGAAGCAUAUCUAUGACUAUAACCUAAAGCUGAAGCCAUGUGAUGGCCCAGUCUUGAUUACUGAGCCAGCGCUGAACCCACUGGCCAACCGGCAACAGAUCACGGAAGUGUUUUUUGAGCAUCUGGGUGUUCCUGCCUUCUAUAUGUCCAUCCAGGCUGUGCUGGCUCUCUUUGCUGCUGGCUUCACUACUGGCCUUGUGCUGAAUUCAGGUGCUGGGGUUACCCAGAGUGUGCCCAUCUUUGAGGGUUACUGUCUGCCUCAUGGUGUGCAGCAACUGGAUCUGGCAGGCUUUGACCUCACCAACUACCUCAUGGUGCUAAUGAAGAACCAUGGUAUCAUGUUGCUUAGUGCUUCAGACAGAAAGAUUGUGGAAGACAUCAAGGAGACCUUUUGUUAUGUGGCAAUGAACUACGAAGAGGAAAUGGCCAAGAAACCUGAUUGUCUAGAGAAAGUUUACCAACUACCUGAUGGGAAGGUCAUCCAGCUCCAUGACCAGCUCUUUUCUUGUCCAGAGGCCCUCUUCUGUCCAUGUCAUAUGAACCUUGAGGCCCCUGGCAUUGAUAAGAUAUGCUUCAGCAGCAUAAUGAAAUGUGAUACAGGCCUGAGGAAUUCCUUCUUUUCCAAUAUUAUCCUUGCCGGGGGAUCAACCUCUUUCCCUGGUUUAGACAAGCGGUUAGUUAAGGAUAUAGCAAAGGUGGCUCCUGCCAACACCGCUGUGCAAGUUAUAGCUCCUCCAGAAAGGAAAAUAUCAGUGUGGAUGGGAGGUUCUAUUCUUGCAUCCUUGUCUGCCUUCCAGGACAUGUGGAUCACUGCUGCAGAAUUUAAAGAAGUUGGACCCAACAUAGUACACCAAAGAUGCUUCUGAAAUACCGAUAAAAUGGUUAGAAGAAAAUGUUUUGAGUAUAUGUGACAGAAAACUUUGGAUAUUAUAUGUUUCUGGGAGAAGAGAAAGUACUUCAACUAUUGGGAUGCCAGUAUUUCUGUUGUAUUUCUAUAAUGGGUUCGGGGGAGAAUAAUGGUGAAGCUCAAGAACAGAUGUCUAUUGAGUAGAACCAAGUUAAAAUAAUGUUUCCCAUAGUGUUUCUUCUAUAACUUGACGUUGGUGAGCUUAUAUUUCCCUUGGAAGAGAGCAUUUGUGGUACAAUAUGCUAUGUGCCAAAUGAGUGAUAAGAUUUAAGCUUAUUGAAGUUUAGGGAAAGAAGGUGAGGAAAGAGACUCCAUAGCAGAGGUAUGCCAUCCUGGAAGGGGUGGCAUUGGGAUGGAGGGCAGAUAUCCAGGCAAGCAUACUAAAAUGAACAAGUUGCUAAAGAUGAGAAUGAACAAAGCAUAUUCAGGGCAUGUUUAAUAGACUGAUUUUGUUUUUAAAAUUUUUGUUUAUGUAUGUAUUUAUUCAUUUAUUUAGUUUUAGAGGCAGAGUCUUGCCCUGUGUCACAGGCUGGAGUGCAGUAGUGCAAUCAUAGCUCACUGCAGCCUCCAACUCCUGGGCUCUGCCCUCAGCCUCCCAAGUAACUGAAUCCACAGGUGUGCACCACCACGCCUAGUUUAGACUGAUUUUGUUCAAGUCAAGAGCUCAUAUAGAGCAGAACAAGCACUAUGACUAGCAAGGUUAAGUGAAGGCCAGGGACUGAAAGGCUUAAAGUGCUAAAUAUCCAAUAUGCAAAGGAGAGAAAUUAAAGAUUUAAAAGCAGGAGCCAUAAGGAAAAUAUGUUAUGAUGAAUGUGGUGAUAGUUUGGAGAAUAAAUUGAACGAGGAAGGCCCUGGAGAUUUGAUGAUCAGUUAGAAAGUUACUAGUCCAGAUAUAAAGUGCCAAGUCUUGUACUCAAGAUUAUAAGCAAUAGGAAUUUAAAAAAAGAAACUAUGAAAACUGACAAGAUUUAGUGCCUACUUAGACAUGAAGGGGAAAGAAGGGUUUGAGAUAAUGUGGGACGCUAAGAGAAUGGUGGUAGUGUUGACAUAUAACUCAAAGCAUUUAGCAUCUACUCUAUGUAAGGUACUGUGCUAAAUGCAAUAGUGCUAAAAACAGGAGUCAGAUUCUGUCCUUAAAAAACUUUACAACCUGGCAGAUGCUAUGAAAGAAAAAGGGGAUGGGAGAGAGAGGAGGGAAAGAGAUGGAGAGAGAGAGAUUUUACUUUUCUUUCAGAUCGAGGACCGACAGCGACAACUCCACGGAGUUUGUCUAACUGAACACGAGUAAAACUUUUAAGAUCAUCCUGUCAUUUACAUGUAAAACUGCACUAUACUGGCCAUUAUAAAAAUUCGCGGCCGGGUGCGGUGGCUCACACCUGUAAUCCCAGCACUUUGGGAGGCCGAAGCGGGUGGAUCGCUUGAGCCCUGGAGUUCGAGACCAGCCUGGGCAACAUGGUGAAACCCCUGUCUCUACUAAAAACACAAAAACUAGCUGGGCGUGGUGGCAGGCGCCUGUAAUCCCAGCUACUCAGGAGGCUGAGGCACGAGAAUCGCUUGAACCCGGGAGGCAGAGGUUGCAGUGAGCCGAGAUCACCCCACUGCACUCCAUCCAGCCUGGGCGAAAGAGCAAGACUCUGUCUCAAAAAAAAAAAAAAAUCGUUACAAUUUAUGGUGGAUUACUCCCCUCUUUUUACCUCAUCAAGACACAGCACUACUUUAAAGCAAAGUCAAUGAUUGAAACGCCUUUCUUUCCUAAUAAAAGGGAGAUUCAGUUCUUAAGAUUAAUAAUGUAGUACACUUGAUUAAAGCCAUCCUCUGCUCAAGGAGAGGCUGGAGAAGGCAUUCUAAGAAGGGGGCAGGGUAGCAACUCGGACGCAUCCCACUGAGCCGAGACAAGAUUCUGCUUUAGUCAGUGCUGCCUGAGAAUCUAUUUUCACAAAGUUCUCCAAAAAAUGUGAUGAUCAAAACUAGGAAUCAGUGUUCUGUGUCUUAGGCCCUAAAAUCUUCCUGUGAAUUCAAUUUUUAAGGUAGUCGAGGUGAACCGCGUCUGGUCUGCAGAGGAUGGAAGAAAGGCCCUCUGAUACCUCAAGGUAGUUUCACCUUUAAAGAAGGUCGGAAGUAAAGACGCAAAGCCUUUCCCGGACGUGCGGAAGGGCAGCGUCCUUCCUACUGGCCGGAAAUGGAACUUUAAUUUCCCGUUCCCCCCUCACCCGCCCGCCCGAGAGAGUGACUCUCACGAGAGCCGCGAGAGUCAGCUUGGCCAAUCCGUGCGGUCGGCGGCCGCUCCCUUUAUAAGCCGACUCGCCCGGCAGCUCACCGGGUUGCGGAGGGUGGGCCUGGGAGGGGUGGCGGCCAUUUUUUGUCUAACCCUAACUGAGAAGGGCGUAGGCGCCGUGCUUUUGCUCCCCGCGCGCUGUUUUUUUCGCUGACUUUCAGCGGGCGGAAAAGCCUCGGCCUGCCGCCUUCCACCGUUCAUUCUGGAGCAAACAAAAAAUGUCAGCUGCUGGCCCGUUCGCCCCUCCCGGGGACCUGCGGCGGGUCGCCUGCCCAGCCCCCGAACCCCGCCUGGAGGCCGCGGUCGGCCCGGGGCUUCUCCGGAGGCACCCACUGCCGCCGCGAAGAGUUGGGCUCUGUCAGCCGCGGGUCUCUCGGGGGCGAGGGCGAGGUUCAGGCCUUUCAGGCCGCAGGAAGAGGAACGGAGCGAGUUCCCGCGCGCGGCGCGCUUCCCUGAGCUGUGGGACGUGCACCCAGGACUCGGCUCACACAAUGCAGUUCGCUUUCCUGUUGGGAACGCCGAUCGUGCGCAUCCGUCACCCCUCGCCGGCAGUGGGGGCUUGUGAACCCCCAAACCUGACUGACUGGGCCAGUGUGCUGCAAAUUGGCAGGAGACGUGAAGGCACCUCCAAAGUUGGCCAAAAUGAAUGGGCAGUGAGCCGGGGUUGCCUGGAGCCGUUCCUGCGUGGGUUCUCCCGUCUUCCGCUUUUUGUUGCCUUUUAUGGUUGUAUUACAACUUAGUUCCUGCUCUGCAGAUUUUGUUGAGGUUUUUGCUUCUCCCAAAGUAGAUCUGGACCAGUCCCCUCAAUCGGGUGUGGGAGAGCAGUGAUUUUAUUUUGAGAGAUCAUCUAACAUUUAAUGAAUAUUUAAUUAGAAGAUCUAAAUGAACAUUGGAAGUUGUGUUCCUUUAAUGGUCAUCGGUUUAUGCCGGAGGUUACAAGUUUCUUUUUUGAAAAAUUAGACCUUGGCGAUGACCUUGAGCGGUAGGAUAUAACCCCCACAAGCUUAGCGUUCCAGUAACGGAACACUAGGCAUAAUGAAAGACGGAAAAGAAAUUUAUUCCACACCCCCCCAACCCUCCCAGCCGGCAGUCUCCCACAAGAGCUGGCUCUGAUUUCCUUUAAGAAAAUAAGCUGAUGGCCCACUAGGUUGAAAGAAACAAACAGGCCAUUCUGCCCACUUAUCACGACAAGGUAAUAAUAUGUGAUGGAAGUAAAAACAGCGAAAAUACCCAAGAAUUAGCCCAGGAUAUGCAAAUUUAAAUGUCUGCAGUGGACAGAAAGGAAACAAAGAAGUGAAUCACACCGGGAAUAAGAAAAUGAAGACUAUAGAGAUGGUGGGGAGAAUGAGCAUCCCUUUUUAAGGAGGCAGCAGUCUUACAGAAAUUGAGCCUAAAGUUGUCAGUAUUGCAAGAGAAGACAAAAAUUCAGAUUUUUAUGUCAACACCACUGAUUAUAGAAUGUUGGUAGCUAAAUUGAAAUAAAAUUUAAAUAUUAUAUAA